CCGCCUCCCGCCCCACCCGGGCUGCCAGGGGCGCAGCACCGCCGGCGCUCGCUCCUCGUCGCAGAGCCACGGGCUCCGCGCGCUCCCCAGCCAGCUGCCCAGCCGCUGGCGUCAGGCCCCCGGCCACAUCCCGGCCUCCACCCCUGGCCGUGGACUCGCAGGGUCCGCGGGGGUCAGCUUCUAAAGCUGGGUUCCCAGGGGGGAAGCCAAGCAUUUUACAGACGAAGAAACGACUCUGAGAGGCCACAAGAUCCUCCCCAGGCCACGCAGCUGGAAAACACCCGCUUUUACAUUUUCCAAGCUAACGUGAAAGGGAAAGCUGUCUGGUUACUGGAUCUGACGUUAAGAACUUGGAUCUGUCCGAGACAAUCAUGACCUUCAGUUCACCACCUACAGGUUUGAACUCCUAGUUUAGCAUCACCAUUUAGACUGUGGAUCAUGUUGUUUUAAAUUUUGUGUUGUAUUCUUCUUGUUAUUAAGCUCUUCACCUGUUGUUGCACAUUAUCCCUGAAUACGAGCUGUUUUCUAUUCCUGCACCUUCCCUCCGACGUGAGACACGACACCCAGAAGUCCUUCUGGACGUGGAGGGACAAAAGGCUGCAGAAAUCGGAAAACCUGACUGUUGACCAGCAAUACCUUCAGAGAAAGAUCUUGAUCAGAAAGGAGAAAAUCAUGAGCGAGAGCUUAACCUGGCCAGAAAUCAGGAGGGGCGGUGGGGAGAGCUGUCACACCUGUGUCAUGGUGCGAGCCCUUUGGAAAGAACCCUACCUUUACAACGGAGCUCUGUGGUUGUGACAGCCCCCCAACUCCCUCUUCCCCUCUGUAACGUACUUCCUCCUUCUUUGUACAUGUGGCUCAUCAUGUCUGCAUGGACCAGACUGCAGUUCCUUCUUUUUCCGGAAUAAAUCGUUUUGGUG